rnacentral:lncRNA from 1 species
CGUCAAUCUCUGUAUCCCAAUGUGAAAGGUAAGUAUAAAGAAAUUGAUUUCCACUUUGCAUUUACCGAUGCUUUUGAAAGGAUCGAUAAAUUAUUUUGCAACGCUUAAAAGCAUCAAAAAUUACUAUUUUAUGCAUCGGAAAAAAUCGAUGUUCCUGUAAUAUUACAUUUGACGACCUGAACUUUCUACAUUGAAGUUUAGAUUUAUCAGAAGAUGUUUCAACUUCGGACACAAAAAUAUUUUUAUGAUUCAUUCUUAGCCAAACAUGUGGCUGUUAUCCCAACAGUACAUUAUUCA